rnacentral:rRNA from 1 species
UACGGAGGGGGCUAGCGUUGUUCGGAAUUACUGGGCGUAAAGCGUGCGCAGGCGGUUUUGUAAGUCUGUCGUGAAAGCCCCGGGCUUAACCUGGGAAUUGCGAUGGAGACUGCAAGGCUUGAAUCUGGCAGAGGGGGGUAGAAUUCCACGUGUAGCAGUGAAAUGCGUAGAGAUGUGGAGGAACACCGAUGGCGAAGGCAGCCCCCUGGGUCAAGAUUGACGCUCAUGCACGAAAGCGUGGGGAGCAAACAGG